CAGGGAGACAAAACUGAUUUCGAUGUCUGAUUUCUAUUUCAGGCCAUAAUCCUGUCACCUUAGGUCGAUCGGUACCUCAGAUUAAUAACUCUAAAAGUUGAGAAAUCACUUUAAUUGGUAAUUAAUUUUAGUUCCUAAACUUGUCUAGGUCACACCCAACAGACUUUCUCCUGGGCUAUUAGCUCAGGCGGUUAGAGCGCACCCCUGAUAAGGGUGAGGUCCCUGGUUCAAGUCCAGGAUGGCCCAUUCGUUGUUGGGGGUAUAGCUCAGUUGGUAGAGCGCCUGCUUUGCAAGCAGGAUGUCAGCGGUUCGAGUCCGCUUACCUCCACUGAUCAACUGCCUGAUAACUCAAUUUGGAGAUUGUUAUUUGUUAAAUGUGACUUAGAGUUGUUCGCUUGAAUGAACCUAGCUUCCUAUCAUUCCUUAAAUUAUUUGAGGCUGAUAAGACGCUGGGCUCACUGAUUUUCUUUAUAAAAUCAGUUUGAUUCAGCAGAACCUUGACAACUGCAUAGGAAAGUCUGGAAAAAAUAAAGCAUCUCAUAGAUGCAUGGAAUUUUAUUUUUAGUUUUACUUAAAGUAGAUUUCUAUGAUUAAUUCUUGAGUUAGAGCAAAACUUCUAAAACUUAAAUCACUUUCAAUAGGUGAUUAACUUAAAUUUUAGAUUUUAAU
rnacentral:tRNA from 1 species